rnacentral:tRNA from 1 species
AGGGACCUAGCUCAGUGGCAGAGCACUUGCCUAGCUUGCAAGUGGUGUGGGUUCAAUCCCCAAGAUGUCAA